CAAACUUCUUAACCUUUAUUGGAGGAGGGACAGGAAGAGGAGGUUCCUGUGUCAAACAUUAUAUUAUGAAGCUCUGAAGCCUGGGGAUGUUGGGACUGGCAAGUGAAGGGCACUUUGAAAAGGGAUGCUGGACAGGAACAUCUAUGCCCUUGGGUGAACAGCAAGGGCAGCAGUCUCAGAAGCGACCGUGCCGGUGGUCUGGGGAACGACGUCGGUUCCUUUCUCGGGGACGGUGACCUGUGUGGGACCUUGGAGGUACCUAUGCCUGGGUCCUCGCCCAUAGAGCUGCCGGCGCAAGUUCCGAGAUAUGGGUCGUAGGUG
rnacentral:lncRNA from 1 species